CUAAGAUUGGGCUGCUUUAUCAUUUUGGCCUCUGGUAAGUGCCUCAUGGCAGAUACUGUCAUGGUGGCAGGAGGGCCUGUGAGAGUAAUCACAUGGUAAGAAAAGCCAAAGACCAGGGAGAGGCCAAUCUUGCUCUUUUUUAACAACCCAGUCUCAAGGGGGAACUAAAUAGGGUCUCACAAGAAUCACAUUAGUCUCUUCUGAGGGUGAAACCCCAGUUAUGUAGUGACAUCCCAUUAGGCACCUCUUAAAGGCCCCACUACCUCCCAACAUCACCACAUUGGGGACCAAGCCUCCAACACAGGAACCCUUAGAAAGCAAACCAUGUCAGACCACAUACCCAUCAGGUCUAUCUCUGGUCUGGAUUAGCUUCAGCCUCCUCACUUGUGACUGUGCCCUAUAAUUCACUCUAGCCAGAGUAAGCCUUAGUUUUUUGGUGGUGUUGGGACAGAGUAAGCCUUUUAAAAGUACAAAGCAGAUUGUGCACCUAUCUUGACCUUACCAGAGCUUUCUGAGGUCCCACACGAGCUGACCUCUCCCUAGUUUCAUGAUCCUGAGCGUCCCAAGCCUUUGUGCUGGCUGUCCCUUCUUUCAGUGUUCUUGCCCUGAAGCUUUGCAUUGCUAGCCCUUCUCAUUCAGGGAAGACUUGAGAAAGCCUUUUGACCACCUUUGCCAGAUCACUGCCUAUUGUCCCUGUUUUUCUGUUUAUAAUCUGUAAAUUUUUUAGAGAUGUUUACCAAUCUGUUACCAGCUUCUUCUCCUCGGGUUAUAGCUCCAUACAGGUAGGAACUUCAUACUGGUGGCCUCUGCUCCCUGACAGUGACUGGCAUAGCUAGGUACUCCAGUACUUACUGAGAAAAUCUGUGAAUGCAGACAGAAUGCUUCGUCUAGCUGAAGUGCCUUGCACAGAGUAAGCUCAGUGAGUAGCCUGAGGAUGCAGUGGGGGGACGCAUGAGAAGACGAGCCAGACUUCUGCUUCUGCUGUGCCCUUGGGGUUGUCUAGUCACCAGAACUAAUUGGGCAAGAAAUGCAGGAGCUGUGGAGUGACAGCAGGGCAGACACCGGAGCCCUGGGCUUCCUGACUGAGCUGGAGCACAGCCUGUCCUUGUAGCAGCUAGGCUUGUUAAAUAACCACCACCCGCAAGGGAGAACUUUGCCAGAACCUUCAAACUGCAGAGUUGUUCUUGGUAUCCUUUCCACACAUACUUGCCAAACCUUGUUUAACUUCCAAGGGUUCGGGAUGGGAUAUAGCUCAGUUGGUAAAGUGCUUGCCUUGCAUGCACAGGCCCUGGAUUCAGAUCUCUAGCACCAAAAAAACCCAACAAUAACAACAAAAAACUUUCAAGUAAUUUUAUAAAGUUCAUGUUGAAAUCAAGCAACCAAAAUAUUUUGAUGGGGGACUAGAGGCUGCACAUAGAGGGAGUAGCUGCCUAUGCAGGAGUUUUCCAUGGAGACGCAGAUGUCCAAAGAGUACCAGGUGGGAGACAGGAAAGGCAAUGAUGGGGCCUGAACAAAUUCAUGACAAAGACGUCUUUGGAUGAAUCUUAGAAGUCCUGAGGUCUGACAGAACCUGCAUUACACACAUCCUCAUGGGGCACAGGCCAUUGAGCUGUGGGUCAUGUCACCACACACUGCAGGCUGCAGCCAAGGCCUCACUCCAGCUGCUGGAGGUAAAGCUGGGCCGCAGUCUGGCUGGGCACAAUCAGGAGCCACUUGUCAAAAGAAACUAACUUUAUUUUUAGAACCACACACGACAAACAAAAUAGUCUCUCAGGAAA
rnacentral:lncRNA from 1 species